rnacentral:rRNA from 1 species
GAGUUUGAUCCUGGCUCAGGAUGAACGCUGGCGGCGUGCUUAACACAUGCAAGUCGAACGAAGCACUUGGGAAAGAUUCUUCGGAUGAAAGCCUUUGUGACUGAGUGGCGGACGGGUGAGUAACGCGUGGGUAACCUACCUCAUACAGGGGGAUAACAGUUGGAAACGACCGCUAAUACCGCAUAACCCGCUAGUAUCGCAUGAUACGGACGGAAAAGAUUUAUCGGUAUGAGAUGGACCCGCGUCUGAUUAGCCAGUUGGCAGGGUAACGGCCUACCAAAGCGACGAUCAGUAGCCGGCCUGAGAGGGUGAACGGCCACAUUGGGACUGAGACACGGCCCAAACUCCUACGGGAGGCAGCAGUGGGGAAUAUUGCACAAUGGGGGAAACCCUGAUGCAGCGACGCCGCGUGAGUGAGGAAGUAUUUCGGUAUGUAAAGCUCUAUCAGCAGGGAAGAAAAUGACGGUACCUGACUAAGAAGCCCCGGCUAACUACGUGCCAGCAGCCGCG